rnacentral:lncRNA from 1 species
UAUAUAUAUGGUAUCAUGAGGGAUUGAUAAUUAAUCCUGUGGCUUCCAGGUUUAUAGAAAAAUAAUCACUCCCCUAGUGAAAUUACCCCACAAAAAUGCCUUUUUUCUUAUUGUCAUAUGGUUUUGACCAACCAUUAAUUUUUGAGUGAGCAUGUUUUAUAAUUGUGAUAAACCUUUUGUCUUAUAGCUGGAAUUAUUUCUCUUCUGGAUGAAGAAGAACCGCAGCUUAAGGAAUUUGCACUACACAAAUUGAAUGCAGUUGUCAAUGACUUCUGGGCAGAAAUUUCUGAGUCUGUAGACAAAAUAGAAGUUUUGUAUGAAGAUGAAGGUUUCCGAAGUCGGCAGUUUGCAGCCUUAGUGGCAUCUAAAGUGUUUUAUCACCUGGGAGCCUUUGAGGAAUCUCUGAAUUAUGCUCUUGGAGCUGGUGACCUCUUCAAUGUCAAUGAUAACUCUGAAUACGUGGAGACUAUUAUAGGUAAUUAUCUUUGAUCUGCUAAGGCUUCAUCUCAGUGGCUUCCUGCUUCCUCUGGUGCAUAGGUGCCCAGCCUCUUGGCUUGCUUGGGCCACAUUGAGAGAAGAGCUAUCCUUGGCCACAGUUAAAAUGCAUAUACAAUGUAUGUACAUAACAAAACUUUCUUUAAAAAUGUUUUUUAUUGUAACAUUAGAAAAAGACAGUAAAUAUAGAGCUAGUGGGAUAUUUGACCUUAUUUUUGUGAAACUAACAGAUUAAUGUCUGGUUCAAAGGAAGCUGAGGCACAUUCCAGGUCAUUUGG